CCCUUAGAUGUUCUGGGCCGCACGCGCGCUACACUGUUCGACGCAGCGAGUCUUAACCUUGACCGAAAGGUUUGGGUAAUCUUCAGCAAAGUCGAACGUGAUGGGGAUCGAUCAUUGCAAUUAUUGAUCGUGAACGAGGAAUUCCUAGUAAGUGCAAGUCAUCAGCUUGCGCUGAUUACGUCCCUGCCCUUUGUACACAUCGCCCGUCGCUACUACCGAUUGAAUGGUUUAGUGAGAUCUCUGGAUUGACGCUGGCUAGGGGGCGACCCUUGGCCAGACUGCUCGAGAAACUGCUCAAACUUGAUCAUUUAGAGGAAGUAAAAGUCGUAACA
rnacentral:rRNA from 1 species